rnacentral:rRNA from 1 species
CCUACGGGAGUCAGCAGUGAGGAAUAUUGGUCAAUGGACGCGAGCCUGAACCAGCCAAGUAGCGUGAAGGAUGACUGCCCUACGGGUUGUAAACUUCUUUUAUAAAGGAAUAAAGUGUGCCACGUAUGCCUUUUUGUAUUUACUUUAUGAAUACGCAUAGGCUAACUCCGUGCCAUCAGCCGCGGUAAUACGGAGGAUACGAGCGUUAUCCGGAUUUAUUGGGUUUAAAGGGAGCGUAGAUGGAUUGUUAAGUCAGUUGUGAAAGUUUGCGGCUUAACCGUAAAAUUGCAAUUGAUACUGGCAGCCUUGAGUACAGUAGAGGUAGGCGGAAUUCGUGGUGGAGCGGUGAAAUGCUUAGAUAUCACGAAGAACUCCGAUUGCGAAGGCAGUCUACU